rnacentral:pre_miRNA from 1 species
AAUAUACUCCCUCCAUUCGGAAUUACUUGUCGCGGAAAUGGAUGUAUCUAGAUGUAUUUUAGUUCCAGAUACAUCCAUUUCCGAGACAAGUAAUUCCGAACGGAGGGAGUAAGAU